GCGAUGCGAUGCCGAUCCGGUGAUGAAUUGAUUGGCAAACGCCAGACCUUAGUCUAGUAACAUAGCUAGUCUUUGUCACACACUGUGGUCACCGAAUAAAUAUAAUUUAGCCACGUAGCUAUAAAAGAGUUACCGACUAAGAAUAACUAUCCUUUCCAUAUUUAUUUCAUUAGAAAUGGCAAGAAAUUAACAUUUUAAAUACAAAUGUAUUUGAUAGCUACCUAAAUAGGUAACUAUCGAAUUCAUCAUUAUGGAUUGUUGACUAUUCUUAUUAUGUUUUGUGCAGUUGUAAUGAAUAUUUUUUCAUAUUAUUAUAUUUUUAUAACGUCAUUAUAAUAUGUUAUUAAUAAUAAUUUAUUAUUUAACAACUUUAGCAUUCUCAAGUCUUAUUGGUCCUCGUAUACUUCAUACACAUUUUUCAGAUGAGUCCCAAAUGUAAAAUAGUAAAAUAUUGAGUGCAUAUUAGACUUGAGAAUGUUAAUAUAGGUUAAGCUACUUCUAAGUAAGUAUUGUACGAAUAACCGGUGGCUGUUAUAAAUUAUCGUUUUUCGGUGGUUUUCGGUGAAAGUUCUAUGGCGUCUGAAGUAGUGUUGCUAAGUAUCCCGUGAUAAGAAAAGAUAUAAAAUAUCGAUGAUACAUCUAUAAUAUUUCCACUGUUCACGCAGUAUCAUUUCAACUGUUUUCAAUGCCAUGCCAAUGGUCAUGACAAAAAACUAAGUCUUUAAUUUUUACGAUUAAGUAACAGGCACACAGCAGGCCAUUGUGCAAAUAAAAGUUUUAUUCCGAAUAGGAAGUGAAAUAUUUAGAAGAUAAUAUAUUUAUAUUUCAACUAUUAUCGUCGAAAAUAAAUACCUAGCAACACUAUGUUACUUCCCCGCCUCUUGGUGAUACGGUUUUUAGAUUUAGUUCGGCGGCGUAAUAUAUUAGUUGUGCGAUUGUUUUGUAUUGUGAAUAUGUAAUCCAAAUGCUUUGUCAUUGAAGCAGACGUACUGAGAACGAUAUCAUUUUAUGUAAAUGUGAUUUGAAUCUUGGCAAUAAUUUAUUAUUAUCGGGUCUUAAACUCGUGUACCUAUAAGUCGUAAUGAGGAUGUGGAGAUAUCAUUGUGAAAGUUGUCACUAAACGAUUCUAUUGCGAUCUAUAUUAUCGAUAUGUGUCUGCAAACAGUAACUAUUUCUCAGUCUCUUUUUUUUGGAAUAAAAAUUAUGUUGCUUGCUCCUUUACACUCGUAUAUCAUGAUAAAGAUGGCAAUACUAAUUACGAAUUACUAAAAACUAGUUAACUGCUAUGCGUCGAGAUUUCAGUAUCAAUAAUAUAGAUUGACAUUUAAAAGGUACAAAAAGCCUUCAAAUCGAAAGAACAUCGAGAAAACACUUCAAAUUCUCUUAAAAAUGUUCUAUAUGUAUUAUUGUAUUGUAUAGUGUGGUCUCGUGUCCCUUUCUAGUGUUCACUACUGUGUAGUUGUGAAAGAGAUGGGUAGUGGUCCUUCUGUGCUGGGCGAAGUUGAUUUGAGUAAUAUUCUUAGUAAGAACAGACGAUAAUAUUUUGUUUUUAUCACUUUUAUUUUUAUUUUAAACUCUUGUUCAAAGUGACAUUUUGAAUGAAAAUUGCUUUUUAAAACACGCGAGUCACUUUGUUUUAUCGAUCGUAUCGAGGUAUCGAUAUCGAUCUAAAGAUAUAAAAUUCUGUGUUAUCUAUUGGUGACAGUUCCAGCAAUAAAUGCUAAGUAGUGUAAUUAGUUUCACAAUUUAUUAAUAUCAUAAAUAAUUUUAACGAUUUUGCUAAGAUAAUUGAUUUUCUGUUGUCUUCUUUGUCUUUAUUUAUGUGACAAUGAAUAUAUUGAAGUAGUUUUAAAUUUCCAUAACUAAACUACGGCCUGAUGGCCGCUGGGGCAGAAAAGUUCUUGAGUGGCGACCACGAGCCGGAAGACGUAGCGUGGGCAGGCCUCCCACUAGGUGGACCGACGAUCUGGUGAAGGUCGCGGGAGGUGCCUGGAUGCGAGCGGCGCAGGACCGGACUUUGUGGAAAUCCUUGGGGGAGGCCUUUGUCCAGCAGUGGACGUCUUUCGGCUGAAACGAGCGAGCGAGCGAAACUACGGAAAUCAGUUAAUAUUUAAAACCACAUACCUAUAUCAACUCGCUUUUAAAAUUUAUCAACAAAAAGAUAUACCUUAAUUUGCUGUCCUUAAAAAUAAAAGUAUGCCGUGCACCUAUGAGACAAAACGUCCAAUGAUAAGGACCGCUUUAUUGUCGUUUUCCCGAUUGUGAGUACUCGCCCUUGAGUGUCAGAUGUGACCUGCGUGAUAAAGGCAGGUGUUCACGUGCGCGAUGCCCAUCAGACUCGCCAGUUCUCAUUACCAGAUAAUACUGAGCCAAAUUGUCCUGUCUAAUAUUGCGGCUACAUUAAGCCCUUUGUAUCAAAAAAUACCGACUCGACUUUCCCUAAAACGGUACGGUAAAUAGGUGAUGAAAUAAACGAAACAUAAAUAUUAUCGCGCUAUUAAAGUAAUAAGAAGUAGAUUACUGUAAGACAGCUAAUUAAUUCCUUAGACGUGAUAAAGCAUAAUAUUCCCAAAACUUUUUUUGCACUACGACUAUCUUGCGACUAUUUAGCCUAUAACAUUGAUAUGGCUAAUAGUCUGCUUGCAGAGAUUUUCUAUUAACCUUACACCAAAUAUCAUUUGCCGCAAAUAUUAUGGUAGACCAAAUGUUAUUUUCAGUUUGUAUGGGGAAAAAUAAUACAAAACUAUAAAUAAAUGAAAGCAAACGCAUAAUGUAUUAUUGUCUACUCCAUCUAACUUCGCCCACUCAUUCAAUUGUUAAUAUUCCUAAUAACUGUAACGUAAACUCACUAAAUCAUGACCAAUGUAAUUUUAUCGACGGUCAAUAUGUAGUUCAUAAAUAUUAUAAAUUAUAUCGAAUUUUCUAUGUAAUCGUUCGUUGGUUCAGCCUGCGCGCAGGCGUAGACUUGCAAAGAUAUUACUAUGUACUGUGUAUCACCUUAUAUAAAGUAUUUAUAUGUAUAAAUCCGUUACUGAACUGUUGUGCUCUUGUGUAUCUUUAAUACGAGUAGAUGUUGUUCUUGGCAUUUGAUGUUGAUGUACAUAAAACGUUUAAGGAUAUAAAAAGUAUAUAAAAUAAAUUAUUAUGUUACAUA